rnacentral:rRNA from 1 species
GACGAACGCUGGCGGCGUGCCUAAUACAUGCAAGUGGGACGCAAGGGAACACACUGUGCUUGCACACCGUGUUUUCUUGAGUCGCGAACGGGUGAGUAACGCGUAGGUAACCUGCCUAUUAGCGGGGGAUAACUAUUGGAAACGAUAGCUAAUACCGCAUAAUAUUAAUUAUUGCAUGAUAAUUGAUUGAAAGAUGCAAGCGCAUCACUAGUAGAUGGACCUGCGUUGUAUUAGCUAGUUGGUAAGGUAAGAGCUUACCAAGGCGACGAUACAUAGCCGACCUGAGAGGGUGAUCGGCCACACUGGGACUGAGACACGGCCCAGACUCCUGCGGGAGGCAGCAGUAGGGAAUCUUCGGCAAUGGACGAAAGUCUGACCGAGCAACGCCGCGUGAGUGAAGAAGGUUUUCGGAUCGUAAAGCUCUGUUGUAAGUCAAGAACGUGUGUGAGAGUGGAAAGUUCACACAGUGACGGAGCUACCAGAAAG